rnacentral:rRNA from 1 species
UACAGAGGGGGCAAGCGUUGUUCGGAAUUACUGGGCGUAAAGGGCGCGUAGGCGGCCUUCUAAGUCGAACGUGAAAUCCCCGGGCUCAACCCGGGAACUGCGUCCGAUACUGGAAGGCUUGAAUCCGGGAGAGGGAUGCGGAAUUCCAGGUGUAGCGGUGAAAUGCGUAGAUAUCGGGAAGAACACCGGUGGCGAAGGCGGCUCGCUGGGCCGUUGCUGACGCUGAGGCGCGAAAGCGUGGGGAGCAAACAGG